AUUGAACGCUGGCGGCAGGCCUAACACAUGCAAGUCGAGCGGUUGACGGGAGCCUGCUCCCUGAUUCAGCGGCGGACGGGUGAGUAAUGACUAGGAAUCUGCCUAUUAGUGGGGGACAACGUUUCGAAAGGAACGCUAAUGCCGCAUACGUCCUACGGGAGAAAGCAGGGGACCUUUGGGCCUUGCGCUAAUAGAUGAGCCUAGGUCGGAUUAGCUUGUUGGUGAGGUAAUGGCUCACCAAGGCGACGAUCCGUAACUGGUCUGAGAGGAUGAUCAGUCACACUGGAACUGAGACACGGUCCAGACUCCUACGGGAGGCAGCAGUGGGGAAUAUUGGACAAUGGGCGAAAGCCUGAUCCAGCCAUGCCGCGUGUGUGAAGAAGGUCUUCGGAUUGUAAAGCACUUUAAGUUGGGAGGAAGGGUUGUAGAUUAAUACUCUGCAAUUUUGACGUUACCGACAGAAUAAGCACCGACUAACUCUGUGCCAGCCGCCGCAGUAA
rnacentral:rRNA from 1 species